GAUUUCUGGUUGGAUGCGCCUGGCCCGCCACGGUUUCGUGUGUGAGUGCCUCGGUGUGUCUGCCAUCCUUCUCGUUGCGUCCUCCGCGCUUCCUCAUUGAGGUGCGAAGGCGUGCGAGAUCGUUUACUUUGAAAAAAUUAGAGUGUUCAACGCAGGCAGUGCGCUAUGAAUACAUUAGCAUGGAAUAAUAAUUUAGGACUGUCGGUUCUAUUUUGUUGGUUUCUAGAAUCGUGGUAAUGAUUGAUAGGGAUAGUUGGGGGUGCUAGUAUUCAGUGGCCAGAGGUGAAAUUCUCGGAUUCCCUGAAGACUAACUGAUGCGAAAGCAUU
rnacentral:rRNA from 1 species